rnacentral:rRNA from 1 species
GGCCUACACAUGCAGUCGAACGGCAGCACAGAAGAGCUUGCUCUUUGGGUGGCGAGUGGCGGACGGGUGAGUAAUGUCUGGGAAACUGCCCGAUGGAGGGGGAUAACUACUGGAAACGGUAGCUAAUACCGCAUAACGUCGCAAGACCAAAGUGGGGGACCUUCGGGCCUCACACCAUCGGAUGUGCCCAGAUGGGAUUAGCUAGUAGGUGGGGUAAUGGCUCACCUAGGCGACGAUCCCUAGCUGGUCUGAGAGGAUGACCAGCCACACUGGAACUGAGACACGGUCCAGACUCCUACGGGAGGCAGCAGUGGGGAAUAUUGCACAAUGGGCGCAAGCCUGAUGCAGCCAUGCCGCGUGUAUGAAGAAGGCCUUCGGGUUGUAAAGUACUUUCAGCGGGGAGGAAGGCGGUGAGGUUAAUAACCUUGCCGAUUGACGUUACCCGCAGAAGAAGCACCGGCUAACUCCGUGCCAGCAGCCGCGGUAAUACGGAGGGUGCAAGCGUUAAUCGGAAUUACUGGGCGUAAAGCGCACGCAGGCGGUCUGUUAAGUCAGAUGUGAAAUCCCCGGGCUUAACCUGGGAACUGCAUUUGAAACUGGCAGGCUUGAGUCUCGUAGAGGGGGGUAGAAUUCCAGGUGUAGCGGUGAAAUGCGUAGAGAUCUGGAGGAAUACCGGUGGCGAAGGCGGCCCCCUGGACGAAGACUGACGCUCAGGUGCGAAAGCGUGGGGAGCAAACAGGAUUAGAU